rnacentral:rRNA from 1 species
CCUACGGGUGGCAGCAGUGAGGAAUAUUGGUCAAUGGGCGUAAGCCUGAACCAGCCAAGCCGCGUGAAGGAUGAAGGUUCUAUGGAUCGUAAACCUCUUUUGUCAGGGGAUAAAGUGUGGCUCGAGAGCCUUUCCGAAUGUACUUUAAGAAUAAGCAUCGGCUAACUCCGUGCCAGCAGCCGCGGUAAUACGGAGGAUGCGAGCGUUAUCCGGAUUUAUUGGGUUUAAAGGGUGCGUAGGGUGUUUUUUAAGUCAGCGGUGAAAGUUUGUGGCUCAACCAUAGAAUUGCCGUUGAAACUGGAAGACUUGAGUGUGUUUGAGGUAGGCGGAAUGCGUGGUGUAGCGGUGAAAUGCAUAGAUAUCACGCAGAACUCCGAUUGCGAAGGCAGCUUACUAAGCCAUGACUGACACUGAAGCACGAAAGCGUGGGGAUCAAACAGGAUUAGAUACCCCAGUAGUC